rnacentral:lncRNA from 1 species
UCUAAAGUUAUUCCUCUAGGAUUAGCAUAGUGGAAGGCUUCAUUUGAUGAUUUUGAUCGAGUUUAGGGAAGAGCCUGAUUUUAAGUGAGGUCUUGAUUUAGGAUUUGUUUAGAUUGAAUUUUGAAUUAAAAUUAAUGUAAAAAUAUAAUUUUGGAUAAUAGGUACGAAAAAAUUUCUUAGAAGUUAGUCGAUCUAUUCAUUCAGUGCUCCGUGAAAAGUAAGUAAUGAAUCAUCUUCUCGAGAUAUUUCAUAUUUAUUCUGAAAAUAAAUAAUUAUUCUCUGAAAUUAUGUAUGAUUUAUGAAAUUAUAUUUUGAAAGAAUAAUGCUUUUG